rnacentral:rRNA from 1 species
GACGAACGCUGGCGGCGUGCUUAACACAUGCAAGUCGAACGGAAAGGCCUGCUUUCCCUUGUGGAUUGCGGGUACUCGAGUGGCGAACGGACGAGUAACACGUGAGUUAUCUGCCCCCAACUUGGGUAUAAGCCUGGGAAACUGGGUCUAAUUCCCGCUAGGACUGCAGUGUGGUGCGUGUGGUGGAAAACGAUGUUCUAGUGGUUGGGGAUGAGCGCGCGGCCUGUGAGCUUGUUGGUGGGGUAAUGGCCUACCAAUGCGGCGACGGUUAGCCGGCCUGGGGGGGUGGACCUCCACAGUGGGACUGAGACACUGCGCAUACGCCAACGGGCGGCAGCCGUGGGGAAUCUGGAACAAGGGGGGGAAGCCUGAGGCAGGGAGGCCGAGGGGGGGAUGACGGCCUUCGGGUGGUAACCUCCUUUCGACCGCGAGGAUGCCACCUGGUUGGAAGGGUGGUGACGGUAGUGGGAGAAGAAGCACCGGCUAACUACGUG